rnacentral:rRNA from 1 species
AGUUUGAUNUGGCUCAGAUUGAACGCUGGCGGCAGGCCUAACACAUGCAAGUCGAGCGGUAGCACAGAGAGCUUGCUCUCGGGUGACGAGCGGCGGACGGGUGAGUAAUGUCUGGGAAACUGCCUGAUGGAGGGGGAUAACUACUGGAAACGGUAGCUAAUACCGCAUAAUGUCGCAAGACCAAAGAGGGGGACCUUCGGGCCUCUUGCCAUCAGAUGUGCCCAGAUGGGAUUAGCUAGUAGGUGGGGUAACGGCUCACCUAGGCGACGAUCCCUAGCUGGUCUGAGAGGAUGACCAGCCACACUGGAACUGAGACACGGUCCAGACUCCUACGGGAGGCAGCAGUGGGGAAUAUUGCACAAUGGGCGCAAGCCUGAUGCAGCCAUGCCGCGUGUAUGAAGAAGGCCUUCGGGUUGUAAAGUACUUUCAGCGAGGAGGAAGGUGUUGAGGUUAAUAACCUCAGCAAUUGACGUUACUCGCAGAAGAAGCACCGGCUAACUCCGUGCCAGCAGCCGCGGUAAUACGNGAAGGUNGCAAGCGUUAAUUCGAAAUUACUNGGGCGUAAAGCGCACGCAGGCGGUCUGUCAAGUCGGAUGUGAAAUCCCCGGGCUCAACCUGGGAACUGCAUUCGAAACUGGCAGGCUAGAGUCUUGUAGAGGGGGGGUAGAAUUCCCAGGUGUAGCGGUGAAAUGCGUAGAGAUCUGGAGGAAUACCCGGUGGGCGAAGGCGGCCCCCUGGACAAAGACUGACGCUCAGGUGCGAAAGCGUGGGGAGCAAACAGGGAANUANGAUACCCUGGUAGUCCACGCCGUAAACGAUGUCGACUUGGNAGGUUGUUCCCCUUGAGGAGUGGCUUCCGGAGCUAACGCGUUAAGUCGACCCGCCCUGGGGAGUACGGCCGCAAGGCUUAAAACUNCAAAUGAAUUUGACCGGGGGCCCGCACAAGCGGUGGAGCAUGUGGUUUAAUUCGAUGCAACGCGAAGAACCUUACCUACUCUUGACAUCCAGAGAACUUUCCAGAGAUGGAUUGGUGCCUUCGGGAACUCUGAGACAGGUGCUGCAUGGCUGUCGUCAGCUCGUGUUGUGAAAUGUUGGGUUAAGUCCCGCAACGAGCGCAACCCUUAUCCUUUGUUGCCAGCGGUCCGGCCGGGAACUCAAAGGAGACUGCCAGUGAUAAACUGGAGGAAGGUGGGGAUGACGUCAAGUCAUCAUGGCCCUUACGAGUAGGGCUACACACGUGCUACAAUGGCAUAUACAAAGAGAAGCGACCUCGCGAGAGCAAGCGGACCUCAUAAAGUAUGUCGUAGUCCGGAUUGGAGUCUGCAACUCGACUCCAUGAAGUCGGAAUCGCUAGUAAUCGUAGAUCAGAAUGCUACGGUGAAUACGUUCCCGGGCCUUGUACACACCGCCCGUCACACCAUGGGAGUGGGUUGCAAAAGAAGUAGGUAGCUUAACCUUCGGGAGGGCGCUUACCACUUUGUGAUUCAUGACUGGGGUGAAGUCGUAACAAGGUAACCGU